rnacentral:rRNA from 1 species
CUCCGCCAGAAAAUUACGAGCGAAAGCCUAAAACUCAAAAGACUUGACGGUGUCCCAACCUUCCUAGAGGAGCCUGUUCCAUAAUCGACAACCCACGUUAUACCUAACCACCCAUAGUAUCCUCAGCCUAUAUACCGCCGUCGUUAAGCCUACCCUUAAAAGAAUAUAAGUAAGCCAAAAAGUACUAUACUAACAAGUCAGGUCAAGGUGUAGCUUAUGGGGUGGAGGAAAUGGGCUACAUUAUUUAGUAUAAAUACACGAAUUUUUACCCGCCCUGAAAAAGCAAAUGAAGUUGGAUUUAGCAGUAAUUCAAGCAAGAAUACUUAAAUUAA